rnacentral:rRNA from 1 species
CAGCAGCCGCGGUAAUGCGUAGGUGGCAAGCGUUGUCCGGAAUUAUUGGGCGUAAAGGGCUCGCAGGCGGUUUCUUAAGUCUGAUGUGAAAGCCCCCGGCUCAACCGGGGAGGGUCAUUGGAAACUGGGAAACUUGAGUGCAGAAGAGGAGAGUGGAAUUCCACGUGUAGCGGUGAAAUGCGUUGAGAUCGGAAAGAACACCAACGGCGAAAGCACUCUGCUGGGCCGACACUGACACUGAGAGACGAAAGCUAGGGGAGCAAAUGGGAUUAGAUACCCGGGUAGUCCCUGUCUCUUAUAC